rnacentral:rRNA from 1 species
UAUGGGGUGCAGCAGGCGCGAAACCUUUACACUGCACGCCAGUGCGAUAGGGGGACACCGAGUGCGAGGGCAUAGAGCCCUCGCUUUUGUGUACCGUAAGGUGGUACACGAAUAAGGGCUGGGCAAGACCGGUGCCAGCCGCCGCGGUAACACCGGCAGCCCAAGUGAUGGCCGCUAUUAUUGGGCCUAAAGCGUCCGUAGCUUGCUAGACAGGUUCAUUGGGAAAUCUACCCGCCUAACGGGUAGGCGUCCGGUGAAAACCAGCUAGCUUGGGGCCGGAAGAUCCAAGGGGUACGUCCGGGGUAGGAGUGAAAUCCUGUAAUCCUGGACGGACCACCGAUGGCGAAAGCACCUUGGAAAGACGGACCCGACGGUGAGGGACGAAAGCUAGGGUCACGAACCGGAUUAGAUACCCGGGUAGUCCUAGCUGUAAACGAUGUUCGCUAGGUGCGGCACGCACUACGAGUGCGUGCUGUGCCGUAGGGAAGCCGAGAAGCGAACCGCCUGGGAAGUACGUCCGCAAGGAUGAAACUUAAAGGAAUUGGCGGGGGAGCAC